AUUGAACGCUGGCGGCAGGCCUAACACAUGCAAGUCGAACGAGGGGCGGACGGGUGAGUAAUGUCUGGGAAACUGCCUGAUGGAGGGGGAUAACUACUGGAAACGGUAGCUAAUAACGCAUACCAUCAGAUGUGCCCAGAUGGGAUUAUCUAGGUGGUGGGGUAACGGCUCACCAAGGCGACGAUCCCUAUCUGGUCUGAGAGGAUGACCGGCCACAAUGGAACGUAGACACGGUCCAGACUCUUACGGGAGGCAGCAGUGGGGAAUAUUGCACAAUGGGCGCAAGCCUGAUGCAGCCAUGCCGCGUGUAUGAAGAAGGCCUUCGGGUUGUACAGUACUUUCAGCGGUGAGGCGUUACCCGCAGAAGAAGCACCGGCUAACUCCGUGCCAGCCGCCGCGGUAAUUC
rnacentral:rRNA from 1 species